GGACCGUAGAUAAUUAAUACGCUUAGAAUAUGUCUGUAUUCUAGUUCUAAUACACGAUGGAGAACAUUAUCCAAUAUCGGGGAUCGUGAUGAAUAAGUAGAUCUUAUAUUUCAUAAAUAGUCCUACUCAGGGUAUGACGAAUCCUCAGUUAUCUUUCAGACAGAGUAUAAACGCGCGUUCAGAACUUUAUAGUUGCCGAACCUAUAGAUCUGAUCGAUGAGUUUCCAUGGCAAUGAAAUAUUUGUUGAUAAAUAUGGUGGCGGCUUGUAGUUAGUUAGUGUAGCAUUUUCACUGAAAGUUUGAAAUUAGAGUUUCUUUUAGUGUAGUCUAGUUAUGUAGUUUAACAGCAUGUUUAAAAUCGCCUGGAAUUUUCUCUAAUAAUAAAAUGUGGCCACAACGCAGUUCGCUUCUCCAAGCAUUAUCUGAUUCAGAAAGUCUAUCAACACGGUCAACACCGUCCAGUUACAGUAUAUCCAAAGUACAGACUAUGAUGAAAGUAAGCAUUAGUGAAACAAAUAAAGGUGUUAAACCACAAAAGGAAUUCCUCUCGAAAAUUGUAGACAAUACGAAACCAUCGAGAUUAGGGAAAUCAUGUUCUGAGCUUAAAAAUUGUGAUGUUAAUAAUGUUCUUCAAACACUCAAACGAUUUGAUGAGAAAUAUUGUCGAAAACCUGUAAAAGAACAGAACAUAAUUCCAAUUCGAACUGACGUUUUAUUGCCUGCCUUUCAUACAAAUAACAAAUCUUCAUCAUCUAACGUGAAUUCCAGUAUAAAAUACUCAGAUAAGAACAUCAACAGUCACACAGAGCUUGCUAAAGCUAAGAAGGAAACUGAACCAGAAACAGGCCAAGAUAAUUCAGAUGUGUCAGAACUGAGUGAUUCAAAUGUUUCAUCAGUAGGAAGUCACCGGCUUUUCAAACAAAUGCCUUAUAAAAUUCUUACUUUUGAAGACCUUAUUGCUGCACAAGAAGUGCAAAACUUGGUAGAUGAAACAAAUUCAGAUAUUCAAAGUGGUAUAAAAGAUUUGAGAGAAAAAGAGGUAAUGUCAGCAAAAGAAGGUAGCAUUAUUAAUGAUACAAGAAAAGUCAUACAUUCAGAAGGCAAACAAAACUCUGUAUUAGAAUCAGAAGAUGAAAUUAGUGAAGUCAUUGAAGAAGAAAUUGAAGCAGAGAGCAUUGGUUCCUUAACAGAGGACAAUAGCACCAGCAUCAAUGAUUCAUCAUUCAGAACAAAUUCAUCAUAUGAACGAAUAAUGAACCAACUUUCUGAUCAUUCUGCAAAUCAAGAUGUAGAAAAACAUAUUUUCUCAAAGGAACAAAAUGUGUCAAGUGGGCAAUGUGAUAUAAGCGAUAGGUCUUUGUCUUUACUGCUGAUGUCUAUCAAAUAUAAAGAAGAAGCUAGUGAUAAUGAUAUUGCCCAUUCUUCUUCAGUCAAAUCAGAGUCCAGAGAUAACAUUCCAUCAACAGUACAUGGAAGUGGUUGCCCUUUAACAGAAGAAACAAGCAAUCCUUUGGAUUCUCAAGAAUUUAGGUUCCUUAGGUCUAAUUCUAAUAAAACUGACAUGAAACCUUUGAAAAAUAGAGAAUACUGCAGCAUUGGAGUUCAGACCGAAUCUGACAUGAUUUAUCAUCCUAUAUCACAUGCAACAAUUGAGACUGAACAUUCAUCUUCCAGUCAGCCAGUAAUGCACUCAAAUACUGGAGAAUCACGAAGUCUUCAGGAGAUUAUCCCAGUGUAUAGGUACUACUCGAGAACAAUGGAAUUUCCAGGAAAAGGAACUCCAGUUGAUUUGGCAUUCAGUGAGAUUAUAAAGCACCAGAUUGAAUUAACAAAACACUUUAUAAAUAGUCAGCAAAGAAUGUAUCAAGCAUAUUGUACUUCAGUUGAAAAUAUGUCGGCUAAUUACAAGCCUGUUACUUUAGAGGACACUAAACAGUUCAUCCAUAAUCAUUUCAAAUACAGGCACAGAUUGAGAGAAGAGCUGAAUCAGUAGGUAUUCUUUCAAACACACACAAAAAAGAUAGACAGUUCUUACAGUUUCAUCUGAUUUGUGAAGCAGAGCAUUUUAGGUGAAUGCCUUUGGAGGGAGAGUUUCUGAAACCCCUAUAGAGAUCUGACAGUGACCAGUGAGGGGAAGGUGGAGGCGUAAUUGGACAAAAUAAGGAGCAGAGUACUAUCCAGUAAAGAUGAAAAAUGUUCAAGAAAAGAGUUAGUGUUAUAAACUUUUAGAGAUCAGAUGGUCAGAAAACAAGGUGAUUGAAAGCAUUUUAGUGACUCAAAGAUUUUGAAAAUCGGCAAAAAAAAAAUUUAGCUCUUGUUAGGAGAGGAGGUGAUGAAACUGUUUUAGCAAUCACAUGGCUAUGAGAAGAGGUAUUAAAAAGUUUUAGCACCCAUUGUGUUUGUCAGCAUGGGCAAGUUCAGCAGUUUGAUUAUGGUACAGCUGCCAUUGAGACACCAGAUUGGAGAACAAGCAAUCAGCAAUAGCUCAGCACUCUCCAG